AUAAUACAUAUUUUUUAAAAGACUACAGGUGAAUUGGUGAAGGGCGAGGAGAAGGUGCAUUCUAAGUAGACUCUCUGAGAAGGUGGCAUCAGCUCAAGGCUUGAAAGAGAAGGGAGUGCCCACUCCACAGCGAGUGCAAGAGAAACCGGCCGCGUAUGGGAAAGACAGGAAGGGGGUGCAAGGGGGUGCACGGCCAGCACAGUGAGGAAGACAGAGGAGAGUCGACCUCGAAUUUGUGACAUGGGAACACACCACUGUUAGUAUGGCAAAGAAUUAUGACUCUCUAGCACUCAGAAAGGAGCACCAAGGCCUUGAGCUAGACCCAGCAAGACAGCGUGAGGGAGAAGACUGAAAAAGAAAGAAAAUCCCAUUUAUCUUAAGACAGGGAACAUUGAACUCUCCUUGAUUUAUCACAAAGAUGGCAGGAUUCUAGUCAAAGAUUUUGUUACUACAAGACCCAAGAUUUAAAGGGUUAGGGGUCAGGUGAAUAAAAACCAAAGUCUGAACUC